rnacentral:tRNA from 1 species
GCUUCAUAGCUCCGCUGGUAGAGCACUUCGCAUGGUAAGGAGAGGUCACCGUUCAAGCCCGGUUGGAAGCU